rnacentral:rRNA from 1 species
UACGAAGGGGGCUAGCGUUGCUCGGAAUGACUGGGCGUAAAGGGCGCGUAGGCGGUUCAUACAGUCAGAUGUGAAAUUCCCGGGCUUAACCUGGGGGCUGCAUUUGAUACGUGUGGGCUUGAGUGAGGAAGAGGGUUGUGGAAUUCCCAGUGUAGAGGUGAAAUUCGUAGAUAUUGGGAAGAACACCAGUGGCGAAGGCGGCUCACUGGCUCGUAUCUGACGCUCAGGCGCGACAGCGUGGGGAUCAAACAGG